rnacentral:lncRNA from 1 species
ACAUACAUAGUAUACAAUUGUUAUCAUUAAUCGUUGUUUAGCACAAGUAAAAUAGAAAAAGAAAAGCUAAUUUAUGUUAAAAUAUUUUCUUGUUGGUAAAUAUAAGUUUUUUUUUUAUUAUCAGAUAAACAACUAAUAUGCUACAACGAGAUGGUACUGGGCUGGUAAAUAUAAAUUUUGAAACUCAAUACUUUGUGUUAUUUGAUUUUUAAAAGAAAAAUUGAAGUCAUUGAAAUUUUUCUUACAAAUUGAUCAAAUAAUGGAGGAUUGGUGACAUUCUAUGGGAAAUAAAAAAUAUCAAGGAAUUGAGGUCGUGAAAGAGGUUUGAACGGAAAAAAAAAAUCAAGGAAUAGAGGUCUCGAUGACAGUAUGCAAAAAGAAAAAAAAUUAAAAGAAUGAGAGGUUUAGAGAAUAAAUAAGAGGUAUAAUGAGUAAAUUAUUAAGAUAUAUGUGAAUAACAUACCUAAGGUUAUUUUAGGAAUUUGAAAGGAGGUCUAGUGAGCAAAUGGUUGUAGUUAAAAUUAAAAAGGAGGUGUAAAGAGCAUGAGAGGUAUACUGAGCAAAUUUGGAGGUCCCAAUAGCCGUACUCAUAAUAAACAUAUUCAUUCCAUCCAUAACUGAAUCAGAUAAGUUUACAGACAUAUAUAGAGUUAAUUUCCUACAAUCAAGGAAGUAAUUACUUAGAGCAUCUCCAGCAGUAUUGUUAAAUUAAUUUUUUUAAAAUUUAUCAACUGUUAGGAUUAAUAAGAGCUCCAGCAGUAUGCCUGGUUGCUAAANNNNNNNNNNNNNNNNNNNNAGGUCCCAAUAGUCGCACUCUAUUGUCCCACAUAACCAUCAUGAUUUUAUUAUAGAAAUCUAGCUUAUGAGAAAAAAGAUGCCAUCAAAACUGAUCAGUAACUUGAAUCAAUGAGUAAAAUAUCGACAAUCAUGGAAAUUUCGAUGGUUCGAAAAAAAGAAAUCUCGAUGGAUAUAUCGAAAUAAUAUCGAAUAUCGAAAUAAUAUCGAAUAUCAAUGAAAAUUUUUCCAAAUUUUAUCUAAAAGCUGUAUAU